UCUAGUCGCUGGGAAUAGACCCGAAACCGGGCGAUCUAUCCAUGGGCAGGUUGAAGGUUGGGUAACACUAACUGGAGGACCGAACCGACUACCGUUGAAAAGUUAGCGGAUGACCUGUGGAUCGGAGUGAAAGGCUAAUCAAGCUCGGAGAUAGCUGGUUCUCCUCGAAAGCUAUUUAGGUAGCGCCUCAUGUAUCACUGUAGGGGGUAGAGCACUGUUUCGGCUAGGGGGUCAUCCCGACUUACCAAACCGAUGCAAACUCCGAAUACCUACAAGUGCCGAGCAUGGGAGACACACGGCGGGUGCUAACGUCCGUCGUGAAAAGGGAAACAACCCAGACCGUCAGCUAAGGUCCCAAAGUUAUGGUUAAGUGGGAAACGAUGUGGGAAGGCUUAGACAGCUAGGAGGUUGGCUUAGAAGCAGCCACCCUUUAAAGAAAGCGUAAUAGCUCACUAGUCGAGUCGGCCUGCGCGGAAGAUGUAACGGGGCUCAAACCAUACACCGAAGCUACGGGUAUCACCUUCGGGUGAUGCGGUAGAGGAGCGUUCUGUAAGCCUGUGAAGGUGAGUUGAGAAGCUUGCUGGAGGUAUCAGAAGUGCGAAUGCUGACAUGAGUAACGACAAUGGGUGUGAAAAACACCCACGCCGAAAGACCAAGGUUUCCUGCGCAACGUUAAUCGACGCAGGGUUAGUCGGUCCCUAAGGCGAGGCUGAAAAGCGUAGUCGAUGGAAAACAGGUUAAUAUUCCUGUACUUCUGGUUAUUGCGAUGGAGGGACGGAGAAGGCUAGGCCAGCUUGGCGUUGGUUGUCCAAGUUUAAGGUGGUAGGCUGGAAUCUUAGGUAAAUCCGGGAUUCUAAGGCCGAGAGCUGAUGACGAGUUACCCUUUGGGUGACGAAGUGGUUGAUGCCAUGCUUCCAAGAAAAGCUUCUAAGCUUCAGGUAACCAGGAACCGUACCCCAAACCGACACAGGUGGUUGGGUAGAGAAUACCAAGGCGCUUGAGAGAACUCGGGUGAAGGAACUAGGCAAAAUGGCACCGUAACUUCGGGAGAAGGUGCGCCGGUGAGGGUGAAGGACUUGCUCCGUAAGCUCAUGCCGGUCGAAGAUACCAGGCCGCUGCGACUGUUUAUUAAAAACACAGCACUCUGCAAACACGAAAGUGGACGUAUAGGGUGUGACGCCUGCCCGGUGCCGGAAGGUUAAUUGAUGGGGUUAGCUAACGCGAAGCUCUUGAUCGAAGCCCCGGUAAACGGCGGCCGUAACUAUAACGGUCCUAAGGUAGCGAAAUUCCUUGUCGGGUAAGUUCCGACCUGCACGAAUGGCGUAACGAUGGCGGCGCUGUCUCCACCCGAGACUCAGUGAAAUUGAAAUCGCUGUGAAGAUGCAGUGUAUCCGCGGCUAGACGGAAAGACCCCGUGAACCUUUACUAUAGCUUUGCACUGGACUUUGAAUUUGCUUGUGUAGGAUAGGUGGGAGGCUUUGAAGCGUGGACGCCAGUCUGCGUGGAGCCAACCUUGAAAUACCACCCUGGCAACUUUGAGGUUCUAACUCAGGUCCGUUAUCCGGAUCGAGGACAGUGUAUGGUGGGUAGUUUGACUGGGGCGGUCUCCUCCUAAAGAGUAACGGAGGAGUACGAAGGUGCGCUCAGACCGGUCGGAAAUCGGUCGUAGAGUAUAAAGGCAAAAGCGCGCUUGACUGCGAGACAGACACGUCGAGCAGGUACGAAAGUAGGUCUUAGUGAUCCGGUGGUUCUGUAUGGAAGGGCCAUCGCUCAACGGAUAAAAGGUACUCCGGGGAUAACAGGCUGAUACCGCCCAAGAGUUCAUAUCGACGGCGGUGUUUGGCACCUCGAUGUCGGCUCAUCACAUCCUGGGGCUGAAGCCGGUCCCAAGGGUAUGGCUGUUCGCCAUUUAAAGUGGUACGCGAGCUGGGUUUAGAACGUCGUGAGACAGUUCGGUCCCUAUCUGCCGUGGACGUUUGAGAUUUGAGAGGGGCUGCUCCUAGUACGAGAGGACCGGAGUGGACGAACCUCUGGUGUUCCGGUUGUCACGCCAGUGGCAUUGCCGGGUAGCUAUGUUCGGAAUAGAUAACCGCUGAAAGCAUCUAAGCGGGAAACUAGCCUCAAGAUGAGAUCUCACUGGAACCUUGAGUUCCCUGAAGGGCCGUCGAAGACUACGACGUUGAUAGGUUGGGUGUGUAAGCGCUGUGAGGCGUUGAGCUAACCAAUACUAAUUGCCCGUGAGGCUUGACCAUAUAACACCCAAGCAAUUUGCGUCGAAAGGCCAGAUUGCGGUGUGUGAAGACGAAACGAACCGAAAGUUCGAUUCUUGCAAACACCGACUUCUAUUACAUACCCAAUUUGCUGAAGCGAGGCCA
rnacentral:rRNA from 1 species